UUGGAGGAGACCUUACAGGUUAUGGGGCUAUAGAAUGGGUUGGAAGGGUCCUUGAAGGUCAGAGAACAUUGGGUUGGGUGGGGUUGGAAGAGACUUUAGGGGUUGUGGGGCUGUAGAAUGGGCUGGAAGGGUCCUAGAAGGUCAGAGAACCUUGGGUUGGGUUGGGUUGGGUAGGUUUGAGUUGGGUUGGAAGGGACCUUAGAGGCUAUAAGACUAUAGAAUGGUUUGGAAGGGUCCUUGAAGAUCAAAGAACCUUGGGUUGUUGAAUUGGGUUGGAAGGGACCUUAGAAGCCAUGAGACUAUAGAAUGGUUUGGAAGGGUCCUUGAAGGUCAAAGAACCUUGGGUUGGGUGGGGUUGGAAGAGAUCUUAGAGGUUGUGGGGCUGUAGAAUGGGCUGGAAGGGUCCUUGAAGGUCAGAGAACUGUGGGUUGGGUUGGGUUGGAAGAGAUCUUAGAGGCUAUAAGACUAUAGAAUGGUUUGGAAGGGUCCUUGAAGGUCAGAGAACAUGGGGUUGGGUUGGGAGGGUCCUUAAAGGUCAAAGAAUCAUGGGUUGGGUUGGGUUUGGAGGAGACCUUAGAAGUCAUGGGGCUAUAAAAUGGGUUGGAAGGGUCCUUGAAGGUCAGAGAACCUUGGAUUGGGUUGGGUUGGGUAGGUUUGAGUUGGGUUGGAAGGGACCUUAGAGGCUAUAAGACUAUAGAAUGGUUUGGAAGGGUCCUGGAAGGUCAAAGAGCCUUGGGUUGGGUUGGGAGGGUCCUUAAAGAUCAAAGAAUCAUGGGUUGGGUUGGGUUGGAAGAGAUCUUAGAGGUUGUGGGGCUGUAGAAUGGGCUGGAAGGGUCCUUUAAGGUCAGAGAACCGUGAGUUGGGUUGGGUUGUUGAGUUGGGUUGGAAGGGACCUUAGAAGCCAUGAGACUAUAGAAUGGUUUGGAAAGGUCCUUGAAGGUCAGAGAACUGUGGGUUGGGUUUGGUUUGGAAGAGACUUUAGAGGACCUGGGGCUGUAGAAUGGGCUGGAAGGGUCCUUGAAGGUCAGAGAACCUUGGGUUGGGUUGGGUUGGGUAGGUUUGAGUUGGGUUGGAAGGGACCUUAGAGGCUAUAAGACUACAGAAUGGUUUGGAAGGGUCCUUGAAGGUCAGAGAACCGUGGGUUGGGUGGGGUUGGAAGAGAUCUUAGAGGUUGUGGGGCUGUAGAAUGGGCUGGAAGGGUCCUUGAAGGUCAGAGAACUGUGGGUUGGGUUGGGUUGGAAGAGACUUUAGGGGUUGUGGGGCUGUAGAAUGGGCUGGAAGGGUCCUAGAAGGUCAAAGAACCAUGGGUCGGGUUGGGUUGGAAGGGUCCUUGCAGGCCAUAGAAGCACAAAAUGGUUGGGUUGGGUUGGAAAGGUCCUUGAAGGUAAUAGAAACACGGGAUGGAGUGGGGUUGGGUUGGAAAGGUCCUGGAAGGUCAUAGAAGCAGAACGUGUUUGGGUGGGGUUGGAAAGGUCCUGGAAGACCAUAGGAGCACUGGAUGGAGUUGGGUUGGGUUGGAAAGGUCCUUGAAGAUCAUAGAAACACGGGAUGGAGUUGGGUUGGAAAGGUCCUUGCAGGCCAUAGAAGCACAAUGUGUUUGG